CGCCAAAAACUCUCAAACAGCGGUUUGCUUUCUCUGUUUCUUGGUAGAGCCAAGUGUUUUCAUCUCUUUACUUCCCCUGUCCUCUGGGCAGGGGAGGAUGUCUGAUCAGGUAUCAGUCCUAGUUUGGGGUAGCUCCCCCUCAACUGGGGUUGGUGUACAUUGAAAUUUUGCGUUAUGGUCUUUUACAGGUAGUGCCUUAUUUGUGAGAGCCUUUGAGAACCUAGUUUGUUUGUGAGCUUGGCAUGGUGUUUCGAGUUUCCACAUAGAGAGAGGUUUUCUGGGGAGUCCGCCGGCAUGGAUGCCUUUUAGCUGACUCAGAGCUAUAUCAAACUGAAACACCUUGGACCUUGGAGUUUCAUGCCUCCUUUCCCUGCCGUAAGCACUGUUGCUGAUGAACUUGCUAUCUACAAGGUCCAAUGGAAGAUUGAGGUCUUUGUUUUCGUUUCUUGGAAAUUAGUUGCUUCAAGUUUUCUUCCUCAAUCUUUGCACCAGAUUCUGACCUUAGGAGGCUUGAUGUUGCCACUUUUGUGUCUUGGUUGGUUUCCUCUGCAUGUUUGCUUUCAAACCACCGGUUAUGCUUUUAGGUGGCUAGGGUGGUUUUGGUUUCUGCAUGCCAAAGGGUGCUGGGUGGUUUUGCAGUGGUGGGCUGGGUUUUAACUUAGUUGGGUUUAGGUUGGAUUUGGUUUUGGGCCUCGGUUCAUUGUGUUAAACUCUUGUACUCUUUCCCUUUUGGGCCUUGGUAAUGCAAUAUCCGCAAGUUCAAAAAAAGAUAAUAUUU
rnacentral:misc_RNA from 1 species